rnacentral:rRNA from 1 species
GAUUAACGCUAGCGGCAGGCCUAAUACAUGCAAGUCGAACGGGAUUUCGGGUAGCAAUAUCUGAAUGAGAGUGGCGCACGGGUGCGUAACACGUAUGCAAUCUACCUCUGACUGGGGAAUAGCCUUCCGAAAGGAAGAUUAAUACCGCAUAAAAUAAUGAAGUGGCAUCACUUUAUUAUCAAAACUCUGGUGGUCAGAGAUGAGCAUGCGUCCGAUAGCUAGUUGGCGGGGUAACGGCCCACCAAGGCGACGAUCGGUAGGGGGUCUGAGAGGAUGAUCCCCCACCACUGGUAC